rnacentral:lncRNA from 1 species
CUCUUAAGGAAGGGGAGAAUGGGGUUGAGAAAGGGGCCAAUGGAGCUAGGUAGCAUAGUAAAUAGAGGGCAUCUUCCAACUGCCUUCAAGUCAUCAAACAGUUAUUCAUAAUAGUAUGUAUUUGUAUAAUACCUUAAUAUUCACAACAGGCCUGUGAACUAGGUCGUGAAAGUAUUAUUAGAUCCAAUUUACAGGGUGAGUAAAGGAAGGUUCACAAAGGUGAACCAAUUAAUCUAUGGUGACAUAUGUAAAUAUCUGAGUCAGGAGUAGAAUUCAUUCAUUCACUCAAUUCAUUCCUUCAACCACACAGUAAAGCAUGCAGGCAAAAAAGCCAUUUAUCAAGUACCUACUAUGUUCUAGGUCCUUGGGGAUUGAGUGAAAAAUGAAAAUCUCUUGACUUCUGGUACACGACGAUCUACCACCAUUCCCCCUCCGGAGUCCAAUAAUGAUAGCGAACAUAUACUGCUUUAAGUUUUGAGAAGUGCCUUAAAUAGCUUAUCUUAUUUGAUCCUCACAACAACCCUGUGAAGUAGGAAAUAAGUAGAAUGAUCUCCGUUUUACAAAUGAAGAAACUAGGCACAGGCAGACUGACUUGUCCAAGGGUCACGCAGCUAGCGUCUUGGGCUAGGGUCCGUGCUGGGUACUGGGGAGACAAACCUUGAACCUGAGGAGGAUGGUCUACGCUCCAGAGAGCUCCAGCUGGGUGUUCCUCGCUUUCUAGGCUCAAGGAACCCACCCCUCGCCCAGUUCCCGAGGCCGGGCUGUUCAGGACUUCCUGCCUGCUGCAGAGGCUCAGUGCAGAGGCUGGGGACGGGGGCGGGGCAGGGGCGGGGCAGGCGCGUACCAAGUGAGCCGGAGCUACAGGAACCACCUCCCCAGUCGCCCCUAACCCUCCCUCUUUCCUCCUUCUUCCUCCCUUCUCCCUCCUCCGCAGUGCUCAGGUGAGAAGUCGGAGUCCUCUGUCUCCCCUCUCUCUCGAGUCAGCGCCAAACUUCAGCGCAACGUGUUCCAUCUCCAGCCUUCUCCCGUCGCUUUUGGUAGCUGCUCCUCUCCCCUAUCCCCGCCCUCUCGGCCAUCCCUCCAGCCCGCCCUCUCCGCCCCUAAGCCGCCGCCUCCUCCUUCCCUCCCUCCCUCCCCCUUCCCCAUGCGCCUCCACCUCGUUUCCUCUUUUCUCUCCGCCGGUUUCCUUUUGUUUUC